rnacentral:ncRNA from 1 species
GCGCUGUCCGGUGCGCUCGCGUCGGCCCUUGAAAAUCCGAGUGAGGGAGUGUGAUUUUCGUGCCGGACCGUACCCACAUCCGCAGCAGGUCUCCAAGGUGAACAGCCUCUAGUCGAUGGACCAAUGUAGGUAAGGGAAGUCGGCAAAACGGAUCCGUAACCUUGGGAUAAGGAUUGGCUCUGAGGACUGAGCCGGUCGGGCUGGGGACCUGAAGCAGGAACGGCACUGCACCGGGACUGGGCGGGGCUCGCCGUUCACGCGGCGCGGCCAAGCCCGGACCAGCGUCGGGACCUUCCUGUGGAAAGCCUCAGCUGCGCGGCGUCUGAGGGCUUCGUGCCCAAAGUGCUAUGCUUCGGCCGGCAAAAAACAGUCAACUCAGAACUGGCACGGACCGGGGGAAUCCGACUGUCUAAUUAAAACAAAGCAUUGCGAUGGCCGCUGGUCGGUGUUGACGCAAUGUGAUUUCUGCCCAGUGCUCUGAAUGUCAACGUGAAGAGAUUCAUCAAAGCGCGGGUAAACGGCGGGAGUAACUAUGACUCUCUUGUCCUCUUUUAGCUCCGGGGCCUCGUGGGUCGGCCAGCGCCGUCCUGUCGGGGAGCCUCCGAACUAUGGAUUAUUGCGCGGCAAGCGAUUGAGGGAAUGGAUGUCCGCGUGGCUCUGAAUAACUUUUUGAGGGAGUUCUUCUUUCAUGACGAGGCUCAGAGGGACACUCGUCGAAGGAACUCUAACAGAAGCUCGCGGCGACCAAUGAGCCGUCGCAAAGAGAAGCGGCGUGAGUACGCCCGCGUUCAGGAGCUCUUUAGGAAAAGGCAGGGGUGCUGCGCCCGCGAGGUACUCGAUGGAAAGAUCCAGGGCGAGGUCUCGACCCGGAGAGGU